ACUGUGCUACCAGGGAAGCCCGGUUUUUACAUUAUUUAUCUUUACUUUCAAGUCUCUUUCUCCUUGGGCAACAUAAUGAGCUGGGAUUUUUAACUGGUGGAGUGACCCAAACCUUCACACCUAAGGUGUACAAGCCUUUACUGAUCCUACAUGCUGUUCCAUUAAGUUUUAAAAUUGGACUUGGCAGACCAUGAGUGGUAGAGGAUUUCCUGAGUUGAAGGUCCAGACUUUUCCCCGGACUCCCUCCCGGCCAGCCGUGGCGCACUAACCCC